UAGUAACUGCGAGUGAAGCGGGAAAAGCUCAAAUUUAAAAUCUGGUGGUCUUUGGCCAUCCGAGUUGUAAUUUAGAGAAGCGUCUUCCGCGCUGGACCAUGCAUAAGUCUCCUGGAAUGGAGCGUCAUAGAGGGUGAGAAUCCCGUCUUUGGCAUGGACCCCCAGGGCUUCUGUGAUGCGCUCUCAAAGAGUCGAGUUGUUUGGGAAUGCAGCUCAAAAUGGGUGGUGAACUCCAUCUAAAGCUAAAUAUUGGCGAGAGACCGAUAGCGAACAAGUACCGUGAGGGAAAGAUGAAAAGCACUUUGGAAAGAGAGUGAAACAGUACGUGAAAUUGUUGAAAGGGAAACGCUUGAAGUCAGUCGCGUCGACCGAGACUCAGCCUUGCCUUGGCUUGGUGUACUUCUCGGCUGACGGGUCAGCAUCAAUUUUGAUCCUUGGAUAAUGGCAAGGGAAAGGUGGCACCUUUACAGGUGUGUUAUAGUCCUCUGUCGGAUGCAAGGGUUGGGAUUGAGGAACUCAGCACGCACCUAGUCGGUGUCGGGGCCUUGGCCUACGUUACGUGCUUAGGAUGCUGGCAUAAUGGCUUUAAACGACCCGUCUUGAAACACGGACCAAGGAGUCUAACAUGCACGCGAGUGUUCGGGUGGAAAACCCGUGCGCGUAAUGAAAGUAAAAGUUGGGACCUCUGUCGUGGAGGGCACCGACGCCCGGACCAGACCUUCUGUGACGGCUCUGCGGUAGAGCGUGUAUGUUGGGACCCGAAAGAUGGUGAACUAUGCCUGAAUAGGGUGAAGCCAGAGGAAACUCUGGUGGAGGCUCGUAGCGAUUCUGACGUGCAAAUCGAUCGUCAAAUUUGGGUAUAGGGCGAAAGACU
rnacentral:rRNA from 1 species